CGAACAGCCCUUACUGACAAGAAGUUCUUCCUAAGGUUGAGGUGGAAUCUCUUUUACUGUAGUUUGCAUCCAUUACUCUAGUUCCUAGUCUCAGGAGCAACAUAAAACAAGCAAAAACAUCCAUCACAAAUGAUGGGUAGUAAAUUGAGGCAAGGAAGACCAUAGGAUUAAGUUGGUGGGAGACAAAGGGGGGCAGGGGGCUGCUGAGGAACACUUGCCUGUUUUGGGACAACUGUGGGGUGAAAUCUCAAUGACUAACGUCAUACUCAUUCUCACAAAUUGUCUGCAGAUGGUUGUGGGUGAGCUGGAGAACAGGCUGACCCUAGAGACUAUGGUAUAAUGAAUUGGAAAGGGAUCAGCAAUGGGUGCAGCUCUCCCCUUUUUAUGAAUGAUUGUUGUAUAUGGGUCUCUGGCUCUCAUUCUUGACACAAUGUUGUUUGCUGUGUAGACAGAUAUUUACAAAACAAUGCAAAGAAAUUUAUUGAUAUGUACCUUUCUUUCUCCUCAGGUGUUGUCUUAGGGAGCUUCAUAGCAUCCUAUGGAAAGAAAAACAUGAUUACUCAUAUUCAGUAGUUGUCUGGGCUGUAAGAAUCUUUUGUCUGGUGCUUAGCCCUGAACAGAACCACCUCUGUGAAUCUGGGUGCAAACCAAAGUUCCUUAUUAUAUUUUCAUUCCUCCAUAUCCCCAGUACAUAUCUUGCACAUACAUACUCACCUCAAAACUUGUUCCAAACCCUAAUGUUAACUGCUAAGAUUCCUGCCUUUCUGUGAAAGAAAAAUCUGAAAGGAAAACUAACAAGAGACAGAAGAAAAAAUGCAGCUGUUCAAAGCCUGGGAAAAAAUACUUUUGGGGAGGCUACAACUUCAGGGAUUCCCGAAGGGAUGUGAAGACAUGCAAGCUAGAUCUACAACAGAAGAAAAGAAGGAUUUCUACAGCAUCCUCUUCAGGAAAGAUUCUCCAAGCUCAAGAGCCCCCUAGUGACUAUAUACCAAAGAAGCCAUGGCUGCUGAGACUGAUCCUCCUCCAGGAGCCGCUGACCUUGCUCCAACUUUCUGCACAAAAAAGUGGAGAGGCAAAGACACCAGGCUGCUGCUCUCUUUGCUGUCCUGCAUCAUGUACCUUCAGAAGACACAGAGAGAUCAUUUCUACAUGUAUGCAUACAUGUCCAUAAUUAAAAUGAAGUAAAUUUAAGGGGAAGAAAUGUUCAGACAUCCAUCUAACUUAGGUGUAUGGUGAUAGCUUACUUGAAGUGUGAAACAAAUCAAGGUAGCAACUGAAAUAUAACUAUAACACUGCACAAUUUGCUGACUAGAAGUUAUUUUCUGUCAUUCUAGGAUGUGGGCCAGCCUUCAUCAAGCAAGCAAAAAAAAAAAAAAAAAAGAGGAGGGGGAGAAAGAGUUUACUAGAGCAUCUGCUGCCAAGUGAAAUGGAAACAGAUGGAGGUGCUUCAAAGUGAAGGAGUGGACCUCUACAAGUCAGCUGAUAGCCAACUCAGAUUGACCCUCCAAAACCAUUUUUAAAAGGCAAGACAAGAGCAGACAUACUCAAUUAUGCGCUCCUUUGGAUUGAAUGGAGACAAAGAGUCCAAUCCCAAUCGGUUGAUUACCUGAAGACAAAAAAUAUAAAUUCAUAGAAUUCAUUAAACAGAUGCUGAAAAAUAAUACCUACACUGCUGCACAGGCUGGCAAAAAUGUUUCAUGACAAUCAGCUAACUUAAUUUCUGCAGCUUCUCAGAAUUCACAGAUGUUCACACACAUUAUCAGAAUGUGUAAUUCUCCACAUUCACAGACAUUAUCAGGCUCCUGGUUGCUUGUCUUUCCUCAUGCUGACCUGCAGCCUCUGGUGCAUGACACACAGAGGAAGGAAGAAGGGAUGGUGGCCUUCCUAAUGCUGCUCAGACAAUCAGGCAACUUUCCUGCUAUUUUCAAAGAGAGCUGCACUUAAUUGUUCUGUGGUUAUAAAGUCCCUAGAACAACUAUAUAAAAAUAAAUCAAAAGUAGAUUUAAAGACCUGCCUUCAGAAUUUUAGCUCUCACUCACACCAGCAAGUAAAAAAAUGUAGCCACACAUAGAUCAGCAACACCAGCUGUAACCAAGUGCUGUUCUGCAACUCACCUUGGC